UUGACAUUGGAAAUUGUGGUACCCUUAAUUGCCAUGAUAGUACAUACUAGAUAUGUGUUGGACUUUGGGACAUAUAGUAUACUUCAUAGUAUUACCUGUUGCAUCAUAGUAUACUUGGUAGCCAUGAUAGAACAUAAUUGCUAUGCAUUGGCAUAUUUGGAUCAUAUAGAGUAGAUGUACUCCAUGUUGAUAUCCCGAUUACUUAUGGCAUAGUAGAAUAGCAUUUUACUAUAUGCUUUAUUUACCGCAGUUAACUUCUGUUAUCCA
rnacentral:lncRNA from 1 species